GACGUAGGGUGCGAGCGUUAAUCGGAAUUACUGGGCGUAAAGCGUGCGCAGGCGGUUUUGUAAGUCAGAUGUGAAAUCCCCGGGCUUAACCUGGGAAUGGCAUUUGGGACUGCAAGGCUCGAGUGCGGCAGAGGAGACUGGAAUUCCUGGUGUAGCAGUGAAAUGCGUAGAUAUCAGGAGGAACACCGAUGGCGAAGGCAGGUCUCUGGGCUGACACUGACGCUGAGGCACGAAAGCGUGGGGAGCAAACAGG
rnacentral:rRNA from 1 species